rnacentral:tRNA from 1 species
GUUAAGAUGGCAGAGUCCGGUAAUUGCAUAAAAUUUAAGCCUUUAUUCCCAGAGGUUCAAUUCCUCUUCUUAACA